ACGACCGGCGCACGGGUGCGGAACGCGUAUGGAACCUACCUUUGUCAGGGGAAUAGCCCAGAGAAAUUUGGAUUAAUGCCCCAUGGUAACAUUUAAUUGCAUGAUUUGAUGUUUAAAGAUUUAUCGGACAAAGAUGGCCAUGCGUACCAUUAGCUGGUUGGUAAGGUAACGGCUUACCAAGGCAACGAUGGUUAGGGGCCCUGAGAGGGGGAUCCCCCACACUGGUACUGAGACACGGACCAGACUCCUACGGGAGGCAGCA
rnacentral:rRNA from 1 species